rnacentral:rRNA from 1 species
GUGGGGAAUCUUGCGCAAUGGGCGAAAGCCUGACGCAGCCAUGCCGCGUGAAUGAUGAAGGUCUUAGGAUUGUAAAAUUCUUUCACCGGGGACGAUAAUGACGGUACCCGGAGAAGAAGCUCCGGCUAACUUCGUGCCAGCAGCCGCGGUAAUACGAAGGGGGCUAGCGUUGCUCGGAAUUACUGGGUGUAAAGGGCGCGUAGGCGGACAGCUUAGUCAGAGGUGAAAGCCCAGGGCUCAACCUUGGAAUUGCCUUUGAUACUGGCUGUCUUGAGUACGGGAGAGGUGAGUGGAACGCCGAGUGUAGAGGUGAAAUUCGUAGAUAUUCGGAAGAACACCAGGGGCGAAGGCGACUCACUGGCCCGUUACUGACGCUGAGGCGCGAAAGCGUGGGGAGCAAACAGGAUUAGAUACCCGGGUAGUCC